rnacentral:lncRNA from 1 species
GACGAUCGAUGUAACACUUACCCAUCGAUCGAUAUCUAACCGGUCAGAUGUAUCUUACCUACUUGUUACAUUUCGUACAUCAUACACUUUUCAUCAUAACUCCGGCUGAGUUACACUGGGACAGUGUAAUUUAAGUCUGGGGGGAGAUUUACUGAUAUAAUUUAUUUUAUUCUUACGUAAAAAGGAAUUUCAAAUAAAUUAUGCUUAGCUAUCGAAAAUAGGGACUAUAAUCUUAUACUGGUUUAAACAUGAAUAUCUAACCAAUCUUUAGCACCAUUUUAGAUUUACUGAUUGCAGAUAGCACUAAAGAUGCUAAAGCAGAUCAACCUAUCAACUACACACUUGCCUUGAACCGUAUGAAGUAACAAAAGCUGAUCUCCAACACUAAACCUGACAUAACCGAUUGUCUUGGGGCUUGGUAUACAUGGGAUCGGAUUCUUCAGAUAGGUCUGGAAGGUAACGCCUGGUUUAGAUUAUUUAUCACAUUUUCUCUCUCUAGAUUUCGACCCUAGAUUAGUUAAUUAAAAAAAACAUAUAAAUAAAUAAAUAAUAAUAAAUAAAAAAUAAAAUAAAAUAUAAGAAAGAUCUAUUGUUUAAUUAGGAUGAGUCUGAACAGGACUUGGUGGCUAAAACCAUUAAGGCUUGAUUCAUAAAGACUCUAAUAAAAGAGUUCGAAACGGGACUUGGAGGCGGAAAUCUUCAAGGCUCGCUUUCGCAAAGAACUCUUGGAUAUAGGUCAAAAAGAAGUGAACAGAACUUGGUGGCAACCACCAUUAAGUUUUGAUUCAUGGAAGCCUGUCCAAUCUUGGUCACUGAUCCUGCAAUGGAAGCAUACAUUGACUCAAGAAAGAAAUUUAGAGAGAGAGAAACUAGGAACUAACUUUUACCUGCAGCUCCAGAUACCUGUCUGAAAUCCUUGCAUCAUGUGAUCGAUACUCCCAAGGUAAAGCAUUCACUUUAUAUUUAUUCUAAGAAAUGAAAUCAGUAGAGGGGAAGUCAGA